rnacentral:tRNA from 1 species
GCCGGUGUAGCUCAGUGGUAGAGCGGCCGCCUUGUAAGCGGUAGGUCGUCGGUUCGAUCCCGACCUCCGGCUCCA